GACGAACGCUGGCGGCGUGCUUAACACAUGCAAGUCGAACGGAAAGGCCCUGCUUUUGUUGGGUGCUCGAGUGGCGAACGGGUGAGUAACACGUGAGUAACCUGCCCUUGACUUUGGGAUAACUUCAGGAAACUGGGGCUAAUACCGGAUAGGAGCUCCUGCUGCAUGGUGGGGGUUGGAAAGUUUCGGCGGUUGGGGAUGGACUCGCGGCUUAUCAGCUUGUUGGUGGGGUAGUGGCUUACCAAGGCUUUGACGGGUAGCCGGCCUGAGAGGGUUACCGGCCACAUUGGGACUGAGAUACGGCCCAGACUCCUACGGGAGGCAGCAGUGGGGAAUAUUGCACAAUGGGCGGAAGCCUGAUGCAGCAACGCCGCGUGCGGGAUGACGGCCUUCGGGUUGUAAACCGCUUUCGCCUGUGACGAAGCGUGAGUGACGGUAAUGGGUAAAGAAGCACCGGCUAACUACGUG
rnacentral:rRNA from 1 species